rnacentral:rRNA from 1 species
AGGGCGCACGGGGGAUGCCUAGGCUCCCGGAGGCGAAGAAGGACGCGGCAAGCUGCGAAAAUCCGCGGGGACCGGCACAUACGGGUCGAUCCGCGGGUGUCCGAAUGGGGCAACCCAUCCCGAUUCAUCGGGAUACCCCGGUUUUAGGACCGGGGGGCGAACCCGCCGAACUGAAACAUCUAAGUAGGCGGAGGAGGAGAAAACAAGAGUGAUUCCGCCAGUAGCGGCGAGCGAAGACGGAACAGCCCAAACCCCGCCGGUCACGGCCGUCGGGGGGUUGUAGGACCCGCGCAACGGCGCGAGACGCGACGCGAAGUCGCCUGGGAAGGCGCGCCGCAGAGGGUGAGAGCCCCGUAGCGGAAGCGUCGGACGCCUGGCGGGUAUCCUGAGUAGGCCGGGACGGGAGAAAUCCCGGUCGAAACCGCCGGCACCAUCCGGCAAGGCUAAAUACUCCCGGGAGACCGAUAGUGAACGAGUACCGUGAGGGAAAGGUGAAAAGCACCGUGAACAACGGGGUGAAAGAGAACCUGAAACCGUGCGCCUACAAGCGGUCGGAGCCCUGGCAUUGCCAGGGUGACGGCGUGCCUUUUGCAUAAUGAGCCUACGAGUCACUCCUCACUGGCGAGGUUAACCCCGUUGACGGGGGGAGCCGCAGCGAAAGCGAGUCCGAACAGGGCGUUUGAGUCAGUGGGGGUGGACGCGAAACUUUGUGAUCUACCCAUGGCCAGGCUGAAGCCCCGGUAAAACGGGGUGGAGGGCCGAACCGAUAAGCGUUGAAAAGCUUCCGGAUGAGCCGUGGGUAGGGGUGAAAGGCCAAUCAAACUGAGAAAUAGCUCGUACUCCCCGAAAUGUUUUUAGGAACAGCGUCGUGGGACGUAUGCCGGAGGUAGAGCUACCGAUAGGACUAGGGGGAGUCGCAUCCUACCAAAUCCUGACGAACUCCGAAUGCCGGCAUACGCCAGCGGCAGUGAGGGCCGGGGUGCUAAGGUCCCGGUCCGAGAGGGAAAGAACCCGGACCCGCCGCUAAGGUCCCGGAAUCCGCGCUAAGUUGAUCAAAGGCGGUCCAGCUGCAGAGACAGCCAGGAGGUUAGCUUGGAAGCAGCUAUUCCUUUAAAGAGUGCGUAACAGCUCACUGGUCGAGCGGCAGGGCGUCGACAAUAAUCGGGCAUCAAGCGCGGUGCCGAAGCGCGGGAUGCUGACACGUUCAGCAUGGUAGGGGAGCAUUCCAAGUGCGGCGAAUGCCCCGUGCGAGCGGGGCUGGAGCGCUUGGAAAGGCAAAUGUAGGCAUAAGUAACGACAAGGCGGGCGAGAAACCCGCCCACCGAUAGACCAAGGUUUCCUGAUCAACGCUAAUCGGAUCAGGGUCAGUCGGGCCCUAAGGAUAACCCGAAGGGGGAUUCCGAUGGAAAAUGGGUCAACAUUCCCAUACCGCGCACACAGGUGACGGGGUGACGGGGCGGUGAAAGGAACGCCCGGUGACGGAAUACCGGGUUGAAGGGCGUAGGUAUUGGCUCCGCAGUCAAAUGCGCGGUGCCAGCCGAACCUGACAGUACCGAGCGUCCACGGACAAUCGGACAGUUUCCCUAAUAGCCCCCGAGAAAAACCCCUGGCGUUAAGCGUGUGCGCGCCCGUACCGCAAACCGACACAGGUGGUCAAGGAGAGGAUCCUGAGGUGCUCGAGUGAAUCAUGGCUAAGGAACUCGGCAAAAUGGCCCUGUAACUUCGGGAGAAGGGGCGCCCCCCGGUAAGACGGGGGGCCGCAGUGAAGAGGCCCAGGCGACUGUUUAUCAAAAACACAUGGCUUUGCGAAGUCGAGAGACGAAGUAUAAGGCCUGACACCUGCCCGGUGCCGGAAGGUUAAGGGGGGACGUCAUCCCGCAAGGGAGAAGCGUUGAACCGAAGCCCCGGUAAACGGCGGCCGUAACUAUAACGGUCCUAAGGUAGCGAAAUUCCUUGUCGGGUAAGUUCCGACCUGCACGAAUGGUGUAACGAUCUGGGCACUGUCUCAGCCAUGAGCUCGGUGAAAUUGUAGUCGCGGUGAAGAUGCCGCGUACCCGCAACGGGACGGAAAGACCCCAUGAACCUUUACUGCAGCUUAGCAUUGGCAUCGGGUACACGGUGUGUAGGAUAGGCCGGAGGCAAUGAAGCGGGGUCGCCAGGCCCCGUGGAGCCGCCGUUGAAAUACGGCCCUCCGUCUGCCUGGUGUCUAAUCCUGUAGGACAGGAGACAUUGCUUGGCGGGUAGUUUGACUGGGGUGGUCGCCUCCAAAAGGGUAACGGAGGCUUCCAAAGGUCCCCUCAGCACGCCUGGUAACCGUGCGAGGAGCGCAAUAGCACAAGGGGGCUUGACUGCGAGGCCGACAAGCCGAGCAGGGUGGAAACACGGGUAUAGUGAUCCGGCGGUACCGUAUGGAAGGGCCGUCGCUCAAAGGAUAAAAGGUACUCUGGGGAUAACAGGCUGAUCUCCCCCAAGAGCUCACAUCGACGGGGAGGUUUGGCACCUCGAUGUCGGCUCGUCACAUCCUGGGGCUGGAGAAGGUCCCAAGGGUUGGGCUGUUCGCCCAUUAAAGUGGCACGCGAGCUGGGUUCAGAACGUCGUGAGACAGUUCGGUCCCUAUCUGUUGCGGGCGUGCGAAGUCUGAGGGGGUCUGGCCUUAGUACGAGAGGACCGGGCUGGACCGACCGCUGGUGUACCGGUUGUGGUGCCAACUGCACCGCCGGGUAGCUACGUCGGGAAGGGAUAAGCGCUGAAAGCAUCUAAGUGCGAAACCCGCCCCGAGAUGAGACUUCG